CCUACGGGUGGCAGCAGUAGGGAAUAUUGGGCAAUGGGCGGGAGCCUGACCCAGCCAUGCCGCGUGCAGGAUGAAGGCGCUCAGCGUUGUAAACUGCUUUUACUCAUGAAGAACGGCAGGCCUGCGGGCCUGUGUGACGGUAAUGAGGGAAUAAGCACCGGCUAACUCCGUGCCAGCAGCCGCGGUAAUACGGAGGGUGCGAGCGUUGUCCGGAUUUAUUGGGUUUAAAGGGUGCGUAGGUGGUCUGCUAAGUCUGGUUUGAAAGCUGGUGGCUU
rnacentral:rRNA from 1 species